rnacentral:tmRNA from 1 species
GCCGGUUCAACCGGCUAUGGCGAUAAAUUGUAGCGUGCAAUAGACGCAGCGGACCCGGGGGCGGUACCCGGCGGCUCCACCA